rnacentral:lncRNA from 1 species
UACAACAUCACAUUGCUUAAUUCAAAAAAUACGGGGACCAGGAUUUGCACACAGUUGCUUAGUAAUUGCAUGUACUGAUAUGCAAUUGCACGACACUACUUGCAAGUGCAUCAGCCCUCGAUUAUAACAUUGCACAGAUAAUGCACACAACCCACCAAUGCAUUUCUAUAUUGGGCGGACAUUCUGACUCAUUUCAAAUCUCAAUCCAAAUCUUAACCAAUCCUAACAUUACACUUUCGGAACACUUUAC